AUGUUCACUUGUGUGCUUAUACUGCUGACUUUAACUCAAGGUAACAGAGCUAAAGAUGUCAUCACCCCAUACAGUGAUGCAGCAUUAGCCACUGAGACUGAGAAAGUGAAACUCUCUUGUAACUACACUGGUUCUGUUGAAAGUCUUCACUGGUAUCAACAAUAUGCAUGUUUAACACCACAGUUCCUCAUCCUGGAUUAUUCAGGAUAUGUUGUUAAAGCUAAUCCUCCAGUUUCUGGAAUAUCCAUCAGUUCCAGAAAAGAAGAUAUGAGUGUGGAUCUGAUCAUCUCUUCUGCUGCUGUAUCAGACUCUGCUCUGUAUAACUGUGUGUUUUAUCUGACAGCAUUCAACCAAAAGACAAAGAAACUACUAUUUACAGAACAGAAGAAGAGCGUGUAA